rfam:Stegodyphus mimosarum contig93371, whole genome shotgun sequence.
GCCUUCGUGGUGUAGUGGUCAGCACGCUCGACGCGUAACCGAGAGGUCCGUGGUUAGAUUCCCGGAGAGGGCU